UACGGAGGGGGCUAGCGUUGUUCGGAAUUACUGGGCGUAAAGCGCACGUAGGCGGCUUUGUAAGUCAGGGGUGAAAGCCUGGAGCUCAACUCCAGAACUGCCUUUGAGACUGCAUCGCUUGAAUCCGGGAGAGGUAAGCAGAAUUCCGAGUGUAGAGGUGAAAUUCGUAGAUAUUCGGAAGAACACCAGUGGCGAAGGCGGCUUACUGGUCCGGGAUUGACGCUGAGGUGCGAAAGCGUGGGGAGCAAAC
rnacentral:rRNA from 1 species